rnacentral:lncRNA from 1 species
AGGUAGUAUACGUUUAGUGUUAUAUAUGUACAUACAUUUAAAAAAAAAAUAUAAAUAAAUACAUUUUGGAGGAUUUUCAAUGCUGAUGACCACUGAAAUGCGGCAUCACAGUCUUAUGAAGAUGGUCCAUUGCAACAUUCGUCUAUAAAUCAAAAACUAACACACAAACAGAACAUUUCAUUUUGAAUAAGAUGUACUCAAGAACCAGAGUGAUGAACUCUAGCUGUCUUUCUCAUGUCACAGGUUAAAACAUACUGAGAAAAACAAAUGUGUUAGCAUGUAUAUGCAUGGCGUAUAAAAAACAAACAGUCCAGAGAUAGAUGUUUAAUGCAACAGAUACAGAGAGGGGUCCCAACCUUCUCCGCAGGAGACCUGUUGUCCUCUGUAUCGCAGUCACUGUAGCCCAUCAGCUAUUUGAGACCUUUGACAAUCCAUCAGAUCUCCUAGCCAGCUGAUCGGGGAUAUUAGCAUGAGAAGACGUUACACACAGCAAGGUGGACCUCCAGGGGACUGACCGGAGCUUUUGUUUUCUGUUCUCGGGACCAGUCCCCCUUCGACUCUGAUCCCUCCAUGUCGGGGACUGAUGGCAUCGGUGUCAAGUCUGUUCUUUCAGACCGCCGCUGCCCCCUGCUUGCCGUGCUGCAAGGAAAAGAGGGACAGCCUGCGAGAGAGACAUUAGGAGCCCUAGCUGGCAUACUCACAUGUCCUGUACUUUGCCUCCUGUUGUGUUUCAUUUCUAAAGUGCUGACAUUUCAGUACUGUACUCUACUUCUACAUCCACCCACUCAGACUCCAUCACAUAAUCUGUCAGUCCCAGCAGUCCUUCACUGGUGUGUAAACAUGUUUGUGUGUGUGUUGCUCCCACUAAUUAACCUCAUUGGUCAGCCAGUUAUAUUUUUUUUGCGGGGGAUGCAGAAGUUUCCUGCCCUUUCGAUGAGACUGUUUGUAUGUGAAGGAGUGAAGCGAAUCAAUAAGCGUGCUUGUGUUUUUGUGAUUAAUUACUUGCCAUUUAGUUUUCCCUCCCAAAGCAUUCUCUCUCUCCCUUUCUUUCUCCAUCUCUCUCAGACCUCCCACGGCAGGUAGAAUUAAAGGAAUAGUUCACUCCAUCAAGGUCCAAAAAGGACACAAGUAUCAUAAAAAUAGUCCAUACAACUUCUAUAUUCAAGUAUAAUGAAGCCAUACAAUACAGUAUGGAACAGAAUAAAAGUGAAUAAAAUUAUUAUUUUUUAUUAUUUAUUUAUUUAUUUAUUUAUUUAUUAUUUU